rnacentral:ncRNA from 1 species
CCGCCCGCUCCACUUAUUUGGGCGGCGAAAGGCUGCAUAUAAGGAGGAAAUCCCCAAGGCUCGGGGUGCGGCAGCGUGGAGACCUGCCGUAAUGCGCGGCCGACGUAUGCGCGGCGCGCGAGGCGGUCCGUUGAAGGAUUUCGGGGCCGUCGGAGCCGAAAGCAGUAUGGCA